CUUUGACGUCUCGCCACCAAUGUAAAUAAAGUAUGCAAAACUGAUGAAGAAUCCAGACGAGGAUGCUUGCAAACUCUACCAUUCCAAGAUAUCCAUCGAUCCAAGUAGCUUCCUCGUGUGCAUUGAAGGUUUACUAGAGGUGUAUGAAUUUUGUUUUGGGAUAGCAACCAGACCGCUUCACCUACACUUAGGGGCUGUUUGAUAUAUGUUCUAACUGGGUCCAAAGAGGGAUUGGGUAAAAAAAGACAAUUGGCAUGUUUGAUAUUGAUCUAAAAUUCAAGGACUCGGUCCAAAACAUGGACUCGAUCCAAGGUUUUCAUCAGAUUCGGUCCCCUUUUUUCUAUUGAUGGAACGAGAACAAAAGUAAUCAAUUCCCAUAUUGCCCUAUUCUUUCACGCCUCCACUGAAGUUGCUCGCUGUUAUCGACUGCUUCUAUUACCUUUCACGUCCAGUCGUCUUCUUCAUCCGACGAAGCAACCGAAGACAACUUUUUCUCCCUCUCCAGUUUCUGUAUUCUCUGGAAUUUUCUCCCCCUUUUACCAUUGUCGACGCAACCCUCCUCCUCCACGUACUCCAACGUAACGAUUCUCCUCCAUUUACCCAGCGACGCAUCUGGACUCAACAUACUCCAUCGUAGGUCAUCCAUCACCGCCCUUAUCCUCCAUCUCUGCCGUGACUGUAUUUUGAGCCGAAUGCAAUCAAGAUUGAAGCAUCUUUGAUCAACAUUGUGGAAAAAAAGGAAAAGAAUAUGCAUCUUUGUUGUCAAAUAUGGUUGAUGGUGUCCCAAAGAAACCAAGAAGUUCUCAAUCACUCAAUGAACCUACAAACGUAUAUAUUAUAUAUUGUAGAUUAAUGGUUAUUUGUAUUGAAAAUUGUUAUGUGCUUGUAUACAUCUUUUUUAAAUAAUGGUUGUAAAUUACAUCAUUUUGUAUAUUAUAUCAUCUUGUUUUUGAGUAUUCAAUCAAA